rnacentral:rRNA from 1 species
GACAGAGGGUGCAAACGUUGCUCGGAAUUACUGGGCGUAAAGCGCGUGUAGGCGGACUGGUGUGUCGGAUGUGAAAUCCCCAGGCUCAACCUGGGAACUGCAUUCGAAACUGCCAGCCUUGAGUGGUGGAGAGGGAAGUGGAAUUCCUGGUGUAGAGGUGAAAUUCGUAGAUAUCAGGAGGAACACCAGUGGCGAAGGCGGCUUCCUGGACACCAACUGACGCUGAGACGCGAAAGCGUGGGGAGCAAACGGG